rnacentral:rRNA from 1 species
AUUGAACGCUGGCGGAAUGCUUUACACAUGCAAGUCGAACGGCAGCACGGACUUCGGUCUGGUGGCGAGUGGCGAACGGGUGAGUAAUGUAUCGGAACGUGCCCCGUCGUGGGGGAUAACGUAGUGAAAAUUACGCUAAUACCGCAUACGAUCUAUGGAUGAAAGCGGGGGAUCGCAAGACCUCGCGCGAUUGGAGCGGCCGAUAUCAGAUUAGGUAGUUGGUGGGGUAAAGGCCCACCAAGCCAACGAUCCGUAGCUGGUCUGAGAGGACGACCAGCCACACUGGAACUGAGACACGGUCCAGACUCCUACGGGAGGCAGCAGUGGGGAAUUUUGGACAAUGGGCGAAAGCCUGAUCCAGCCAUUCCGCGUGCAGGAUGAAGGCCCUCGGGUUGUAAACUGCUUUUGUACAGAACGAAAAGGUUUCUACUAAUACUAGGAGCUCAUGACGGUACUGUAAGAAUAAGCACCGGCUAACUACGUGCCAGCCGCCGCGGUAA